rnacentral:rRNA from 1 species
AACCAGCACCUCGAGUGGUCAGGAGGUUUAUUGGGCCUAAAGCAUCCGUAGCCGGUUGCAUAAGUUUUCGGUUAAAUCUAUGCGCUUAACGUAUAGGCCGCCGAAAAUACUGUGCAGCUAGGGAGUGGGAGAGGUACACGGUACUCGAUAGGAAGGGGUAAAAUCCUUUGAUCUAUUGAUGACCACCUGUGGCGAAGGCGGUGUACCAGAACACGUUCGACGGUGAGGGAUGAAAGCUGGGGGAGCAAACCGGAUUAGAUACCCGGGUAGUCCCAGCUGUAAACGAUGCAGACUCGGUGAUGCAUUGGCUUGUGGCCAAUGCAGUGCCGCAGGGAAGCCGUUAAGUCUGCCGCCUGGGAAGUACGUACGCAAGUAUGAAACUUAAAGGAAUUGGCGGGGGAGCACCACAAGGGGUGAAGCCUGCGGUUCAAUUGGACUCAACGCCGGA